UACGGAGGGUGCAAGCGUUAAUCGGAAUUACUGGGCGUAAAGCGCACGCAGGCGGUCUGUCAAGUCGGAUGUGAAAUCCCCGGGCUCAACCUGGGAACUGCAUUCGAAACUGGCAGGCUGGAGUCUGGUAGAGGGGGGUAGAAUUCCAGGUGUAGCGGUGAAAUGCGUAGGGCUCUGGAGGAAUACCGGUGGCGAAGGCGGCCCCCUGGACAAAGACUGACGCUCAGGUGCGAAAGCGUGGGGAGCAAACAGG
rnacentral:rRNA from 1 species